GUUUGUUUUGCUUUUCUGUUUUUCACCGAAAGCUUUAAAAGAUUAGCUGAGAAAUAGUCACCAUCACAAUCAUCAUCCUAAAUCUUGUUGUGCAGAACUCAGAAGUUGUGCAGCUCAGAAGGUUGUUACCCUUCUACCCAACAUGACCAAGAUAACUCUCAAGCAAGUUAUCAAAAACAUUCAUCCGCUAUUCAGUCAUUAUUAGGAAAUUCAAACACUGUAAGCUGAACAAAUCAACAUGGAAUGCAGAGACGAUGCCACAAGGAGUACUGAUUUGGGGAAAACAUAUUUACUGCUGAGGCAAGUCAGAGAUUAUGCUGCUUUUCCUGAUUUUUGCACAUGGCAAAAAAAUUGCAAGGAAUAUAUUAUUUGCAGUAGUUCUUGCUUCUGGGUAUCAAAGAGGUUUGCAGUAUUAUUGCUGAACCAGUUACACUUGCGUUAAUCGACAUUCCAGCUGCAAGUCUUCUUACUCCAUGACACUGAUCCCAAAAAACUGAUCUCCCUGAAAACAAAACAGAAAUUAUUUUAAUAUCAAAGUCAUGCAAUAAUUUAGAAAAUAGGUGACAGUGGAAUUCAGAUUUCUCUCAUUCACAGAAGUAGAAAAAUUGUCUGGAAAUACUCCGUGGUUUUUAAUUUUAUUUGUUUGUUUGUUUGUUUUUUAAACCUAGAAGUGACAGAUAAUUUAUAUUGGCUUAAGCUGUUGCUUAAAGACUAUUUCUUGUAUUUCAAACAGAAUACUUUCACUGACAUCGUUAUUUGCUAUGCAGUAUUAUUAUAAGGAAAGAUGCUGUACGGAAAUGUAAUCCGUAUGACUCAAUGAGGAGAAGGAAGGCCAGACGUUCAGCUUGGAUGUUCUGUCUCUCUGAACACAUGUGGUGUGCAGCGGUACACAUGCCUGUGAGGAGGGCCAGGCAGAUCCAGAAAUAGAGGCAUGUAUGUUACUGGAUAGGUUCAAUAGAUACUUCUGAAGACAUAUCUGAAGAUUUCUGUGUGGAUGAAGAGAACAUACCCAGUCACCACUAGACUCUGAUUGAGGAGGAGAUGUUUUCAUUACAGGAGUGAAAGUUCUGUAGACUUCUCUCUGGCUCCUCAUGGGACCAAAAGAAGUGCCUGUUGUGAGCAUGGGACACCUAGUUCUUACCACAGAAUUCAGAUCACAUUCAAGGCUUUUGCCUGCAAGUGAAGGUGGACAAAGCUGUAAAUUCUGCUCACAAUGGAGGCCGCUGGCCAGAUGGCUGAGGAGGGACCUUUGGAUAAUUCAGAAAGGAUGUCCACUCCAUUCAAAUACUAAAGGAGUGUAUGGGAACUGUUGAACCUCUGAUUGACAACCUGAGGGAAGCACUGAGUCAGCCACAAGAGCACAGGUGAAGGCAAUUCACCUGUGUGACCGGAAGAGGUGGAGCCUGGCUGCACCUCUCCUAGACCCCAUUUAAGGGCUGACUGCCACUGAGGAAGGAUCUCUCUUUGGAGAUCACUCCUUGUGGAGUUUUUUGUGAGCCUACAAUACCACUUUUCAGAAAGUCUAGUCCAUGCUACUGAUUUAAGGCUUCUUCCAUCGCUACCUGUCUGGGAAGUUGUUGUAAACCAUCUCCUCUAUGGUACCAAACAAUGGGAAAUGGCUGUAUUUCACAGGCAGUUCAGAAGAAAAACUGUGGUUAAUUCAGAGACUUGUAUGGAUCAAGAACACACUAAAGGAGGAGGAAAUAUAUCUGCAUCGGAGAUCUGGGAGAUCAUUGUGAAGUGAAAGGCACUACCUGCAGCAGUCCCAAUGACCUCUACCAAACACUGUAGGACUAGAUGUAGGAGUUAAAACGAGGUAGAGCUUCAGAGCCUGAUCCUGGAUGAGGACAGAUUGGUUUUUCCCAGAGGUCCUAGAGAAUCACACUGAGGGUAAGAAGGAGCAGCAACAUCUAACUCCUUGAUACAGGGCUGGCAGUCAUGGCUCAGGACUUACAGAGACCCACAGCUUUCUGGAGCAGCAGCAGGAAGCCGGGAAGUUUACCCUCACUAUCUGAAAAGGCUUCCACAAGGUUGAUUGGACCCACCAUAAUGCACAAGUGCUUUGGGAUGGAAUUAGUUGUCCUUUUCUGCACCUGUUGGUGCCAUUAGAUUUGGCAUGACAAAUUGAUCAAUUUGUAAUAGAAAACUGAUUUUCAGAUGACUAUAGUAAAGUGAGAUUAAACUCCAUUUAAGAUAAAUCAUGGAAGUUCUAAUUUGUCUUACAGGAUUUCUCGGAAGGUAAAGUCUCAGAAGGUAAUGACAAGAUCAUUUUCUUAAACAUCUGAGUGAGAUAAGAAAAUCCCAAAAGUAUUGCUAUAUUUACAGGAACAGACGGAGUUGUACAAACUUGACAGGGUACUUAUAAGCAUGCAUUUUCUAUAAAAUCAGUUAAUGUGGUAGAAUUUUUAUUUACUCCUUUGCUUUGUGCUGGUACAGACAAUUUAUCAUUCAAGCAUAUUAGUUUUGUCACCUUAAAUUCACACUGCCAGAAGUCCUGGAGAAGUAAUAAGAAAAUUGUGUUCUCAUUUAAAUCUUAUGUUUCACAUUACAUCCAGCAUCACAUGAAAUCCAAAUUAAAUAAUCCAACUGCAACUAUAAUAAAAUAGGUCAAAGGCAAAAAUAAAAAUGUGCAUCCUUUCUACAUUGUACAAGAUUUGUGCACAUUAUGUAUCCCAUUUUAAGAAUUUCCUCUUGCAUGUUUUUUAUUCUCAGUGAAAUACUAGUAAUACUAAAUCUGGGCCAAUUAUAAGUACAAGUAUCUUUAAUGUUAACUGUUUUCUAGCUUUAUCCAAAUGCUUAGAGAUUUCAAAGAAAAAACAGUCCUACAUUUUAAUCUUCUGUUAAAAAAUUAAAAAAAAAAGAUGAAACAUAUGUAUUGCAUGGCACUGAUAUUUGUACUUUUAUCUUUACUACUUUACCCUAUUAACAAUAAAUGUCACGUUUUCCUACCAUACACAAAUAAAC
ensembl:lncRNA